rnacentral:rRNA from 1 species
UACAGAGGUCCCAAGCGUUGUUCGGAUUCACUGGGCGUAAAGGGUGCGUAGGCGGUCGGGUAAGUCUGAUGUGAAAUCUCACAGCUUAACUGUGAAACUGCAUUGGAUACUAUCCGGCUCGAGGAAUGGAGGGGAGACUGGAAUUCAUGGUGUAGCAGUGAAAUGCGUAGAGAUCAUGAGGAAGACCAGUGGCGAAGGCGGGUCUCUGGACAGUUCCUGACACUGAGGCACGAAGGCCAGGGGAGCAAACGGG